UGCGCCUUGCCAGCCCGCUCAGAAACUUAAAGGAAUUGACGGGGCCCGCACAAGCGGUGGAGCAUGUGGUUUAAUUCGAUGAUACGCGAGGAACCUUACCUGGGCUCAAAUGUAUGUUGACGUAUUCUGAAAGGGAUACUUCUUCGGACAAUAUACAAGGUGCUGCAUGGUUGUCGUCAGCUCGUGCCGUGAGGUGUCGGGUUAAGUCCCAUAACGAGCGCAACCCCUAUCAUUAGUUGCCAUCAGGUCAAGCUGGGGACUCUAAUGAAACUGCCUACGCAAGUAGUGAGGAAGGUGGGGAUGACGUCAAAUCAGCACGGCCCUUACGUCCAGGGCUACACACGUGCUACAAUGGUCGGUACAAAGGGUUGCCAAGCCGCGAGGUGGAGCUAAUCCCAUAAAACCGAUCGUAGUCCGGAUCGCAGUCUGCAACUCGACUGCGUGAAGUCGGAAUCGCUAGUAAUCGUGAAUCAGAAUGUCACGGUGAAUACGUUCCCGGGCCUU
rnacentral:rRNA from 1 species